GACGAACGCUGGCGGCGUGCCUAACACAUGCAAGUCGAACGGUGAAAGCGGAGCUUGCUCCGCUGGAUCAGUGUCGAACGGGUGAGUAACACGUGGGCAACCUGCCCCUCACUUCGGGAUAACUCCGGGAAACCGGGGCUAAUACCGGAUAUGACCUCCUUGGGCAUCCUUGGAGGUGGAAAGUUUUUCGGUGAGGGAUGGGCCCGCGGCCUAUCAGCUUGUUGGUGAGGUAGUGGCUCACCAAGGCGACGACGGGUAGCCGGCCUGAGAGGGCGACCGGCCACACUGGGACUGAGACACGGCCCAGACUCCUACGGGAGGCAGCAGUGGGGAAUAUUGCGCAAUGGGCGAAAGCCUGACGCAGCAACGCCGCGUGCGGGAUGACGGCCUUCGGGUUGUAAACCGCUUUCAGCAGGGAAGAAGCCGCAAGGUGACGGUACCUGCAGAAGAAGCACCGGCUAACUACGUGCCAGCCGCCGCGGUAA
rnacentral:rRNA from 1 species